rnacentral:rRNA from 1 species
GACGAACGCUGGCGGCGUGCUUAACACAUGCAAGUCGAACGAUGAAGCUGGAGCUUGCUCUGGCGGAUUAGUGGCGAACGGGUGAGUAACACGUGAGAAAUCUGCCCUUGACUCUGGGAUAACUGCGGGAAACUGUAGCUAAUACCGGAUACUUUCCCUGGUGGGCAUCCACUGGGGAAGAAAGAAUUUCGGUCAAGGAUGAUCUCGCGGCCUAUCAGCUUGUUGGUGAGGUAAUGGCUCACCAAGGCGACGACGGGUAGCCGGCCUGAGAGGGUGACCGGCCACACUGGGACUGGGACACGGCCCAGACUCCUACGGGAGGCAGCAGUGGGGAAUAUUGCACAAUGGGCGCAAGCCUGAUGCAGCAACGCCGCGUGAGGGAUGAAGGCCUUCGGGUUGUAAACCUCUUUUAGCAGGGAAGAAGCGAAAGUGACGGUACCUCCAGAAAAAGCACCGGCUAACUACGUGCCAGCAGCCGCGGUAA